CCGCCCGAUCUCCCUCAGUCCUCCGGGCCAAGGAGCAGCGCGGGCAGCCGCCGGGCACCAUGGGCAAAAGGGACAACCGGGUGGCUUAUAUGAAUCCUAUAGCCAUGGCCAGAUCUCGAGGUCCUGCUCAGUCUGCUGGGCCAACAAUACAGGAUUAUCUGAAUCGGCCAAGGCCUACAUGGGAAGAAGUGAAAGAACAGCUAGAAAAGAAAAAGAAAG